UACAGAGGGGGCAAGCGUUGUUCGGAAUUACUGGGCGUAAAGCGCGUGUAGGCGGCGUAGCAAGUCGGGCGUGAAAGCCCACGGCUCAACCGUGGAAGAGCACUCGAAACUGCUGCGCUAGAGUUCUGGAGAGGAAGGCGGAAUGCUUGGUGUAGAGGUGAAAUUCGUAGAUAUCAAGCGGAACACCGGUGGCGAAGGCGGCCUUCUGGACAGUGACUGACGCUGAAACGCGAAAGCGUGGGGAGCAAACAGG
rnacentral:rRNA from 1 species